rnacentral:lncRNA from 1 species
CCAGCAGACAGGAAGUCAUUCUUCCCCCAUGUGCUGAGAAGGUCACCAGCCCAUCCCUCCCAAAUGGUGCAUGUGAGGUCCAGAAAGGAGAGACCGUUUCCUAAAGGUCACACAGAGGUGGGAGAGACUCCCUGGGGAGCUGGCUACCUUCCAACCACGCGGCGUCCCCCCACCUCAGCUCUCCUACUGAUUUUAAGGAUAUGGACAAUGUGGUUGAUUCUUAAGUAUAAGUAUGCAUCCCUAACCUGAAAAUGGAAAUGCUCUAAAAUCAAGAAGUUUUGAGAUCUGGCAUAAAUAAGCAAAUCCAAAACACUUCUGGUCUCAAGCAUUUCAGAUAAGGUAUGCUUGGUUUGUAUCAUUUUAUGAGGUUAUAUUACUUCAUUUACUGAAGAGUUAUAUUUUCUGCUCUGUAAAAUGGUACCUGUCUUCUUAUUUACACUUCAGCUUUUCUCCUGCCCACCAUGCUGAUGUAUUGUGAUACACAGCAUUAAUC